UUGAUUUAUUCAAAAUUUUAACUCAGACGACCGGUUAAAUAACAAGAGUUUGGUUUAACUCUGGCGGGCGCUCGCCUGGGACGAAUCCCCAGCGGCUCGAGACCGAGCGGUCCCGCCAAAGCAACAAGGUAGUUUUAACAACAAAGGGUUGGAGGUCGGGCGCUGAGCACCCUUACUCUUUAAUGAUCCUUCCGCAGGUUCACCUACGGAAA
rnacentral:misc_RNA from 1 species